AUUUCUUUGGGGCACUAGCAGAAUGCAAUGCAGAAAUAUACGGAGUGGUUGGCGAUUUGGAAAGUAGAAAGGAAGGUUCCUUUCGAACUAAGAAGAAGUCAAAGGAUGGAGGAAGAAGAAAAAACCACAUCCAUGUUGGGAACCUGGAUGAUGACAAUGAGAAGCUGCAGACUGUGGUCCCAUUGCUUAACUGCUUCAACUCUCUAUCUCACUGGGAAACAUCUAGUCACCAUUCAAAACCAGUUUCAACUACCUCCUCCCCUGGGAAGCAUUUUCUAAUACACCCAGGCAGAAA
rnacentral:lncRNA from 1 species